UGCCUCAAUGGCCAACAGCAGAUCGCACGCUGCACCUUUUUUUUUUGCAUUUUUACUUCCAUUCUGUGUGUGCGCGUGUGCGUGCACCACUCCUUUCUCCAUUUCUUUUCUCGUUCCCUCGGCGCGGCACUCGCCCUUCUGCCUGUGCGAAUCUCUCUGUUGAAGGUGUCCGCUUGCCUCCCGUCACUCUCCCGGCUGCACCGGUAACUCAUAUCGCCACGAGGCAUGCGCUGCUUCUCGACAAAGUCCACGGCCUCUAAGGAAGGUUUCCACGGCAGUGCCAGCGGCAAGGGCAGCAACUCCGUCCCCGUCAAGUCCUCUGCGCUGUUCAUCGAGGCGUUAUCGAAGCGCCGCACCAUCUAUAACCUGAGCAACAAGCUUUCACAGAGCCACAAGGAGGUCAUCGAGAUCAUCGAGGGCACCAUUCGUGAAUGCCCCUCCUCGUUCAAUAUCAAGAGCUCCACUGUCGUCAUCCUGUUCGGCGCGGACCACCAAAAGGUUUGGGACAUCGUGAAGGCGGCGCUCAAGAAGGUGACAUCAGAGGAGCAGUACGCGCAGAGUGAGAUGAAGGUGAACAACUCCUUCGCCGCGGGGGCCGGCACCAUUCUGUUCUACGAGGAUGGCGCAGCCAUCAAGAUGCAGCAGAAGGCGUUCCCGAGGUAUGCCGCAAACGUCCCGACCUUUUCGCAGCAAUCGUCCGCGAUGGCCCAGUUUGCGGUGUGGUCAGCGCUGGCACAGGACGGCAUUGGCGCGUCGCUGCAGCACUACAACGAGCUAAUCGAGGCGGACCUGCGCGCCGCAUUCGACGUUCCAGAGGAGUGGCAGCUGAUUGCCCAGAUGCCCUUUGGCUCCAUCGAGACACCAGCCGACAAGAAGGCACGCAACUCUGACGAGGGCCGCGUUGUCGUGCGCGGCGCAUAGAGGUGAAACGGAAACAGGAGGUAGGAGAAGUGCAACAGCUUCGAAUGUGUGUGUACGUCUGCGCGCCACGCACUCAUACAACAUAGUCCCUGAACGGAGUGUCUUUGAUGUGCUGCGAAACUCCUCUCUCUCGCGUCUUCUAUGACCGCAGUCGGUUUCGAUACGUGCGGGCCGCUCCUGUGGUUCGUCGUCUCCUCGUCUCCCCGUCAGAUCGCGCUGCUUUUCCUUCUGUUUUCCCCUGUCGACAUGCGAAAGCAACCUAACCCUCAUCCCCUCCCCAUGUCCCCAUCCCCUCACCCCCUUCGCCGCACCCUCAUCACAGCGUCUAUUCCAUACAUGUAUGUAUCUCUCGCACUCCCCCCCUCCUCCUCCUCUGUCUCUCGCUCUUUGUCUUUCUGUCCAGAUCCGGUUGGCGCUGUCUUUGUUUUGCCUUUUGUUGUUUAUCGUUCUCCCCCUCCCCCUCCGUCUCUCUGUACACUCUCUGUGUUCCACCCACCCACCCCCCUCACCCUCUCUCUCAGCUUUUCUCUGCGUCGGUGGCUCUUCGGUUGUAUUCCUUCCGCGACUAGACGCCAGACGUGUUCUUCCCGUUGUUGUCUCUCACCCUCAACCCUCCGCCUCUGCGCCGCCGUCCUCUCUCUCUCUCUUCCUCUGAUUCCUUAUGUGGCCCCUUUUGAGAGGUAUCCUGGUAGAUGUACAUAGAUACGUACAUAAAUACAUACCUGCGUAGAUAUCUAUAUAUAUAUAUAUAGUUGUUUGUCGGUGCAUGGCGACCGUGCUGCAGACACGACAUUUGCGCUUGGGUCGGGGGGACUGGCUCACUGUUAAACGUCCCCUACACGUCUAUGCGGUGGUGGCUGUGCUCGCAGCCGUUGCCUUCUUUUUCUUUCUUUUUUUUUCGUGUGUGGGGGGGGGGGCUCUGCCGGACGCACGCGUUCAUACGGCCUCCUACCCGCUUCUCUAGCGACGGGCACGAGUGCUUAAACCGCAAAGGCAGGGAGGUCAUCGACGAGGACCCUGGUCAGUGUGCCAUCAGCGCUCUUACCUCUCCGCCUUGCUUCACUUUCACGCUUCACACAUCUUUUUUUUUAGCUCGUACGUGUUUGCGAUUUCGUCUGGAGCGGUUGCGUUUUAUACACAUACACCCACACACACACCCUAGCUUUUCGUUUUUCUUACGCUUUCACUUCUUCCUCUGUGCGGGUGUAGAGGGAACGGUGGCGGACUCGCCGUCGCUCCUCUCCCUUUCGCUGCUCGAACUCCUCACAUUACUCACACAUCCCGUCACCCUCUACCUCGUCUCCCACCUUGGGUGACUCCAAGGCGAUCCGGCGCGCAAGGUGUGGAGAAGAGAGGGAGACAGACGCGCGAAGCGACAACGACCGAGGGCGGAGUGAGGACAAAGAAGAUGUGGCUUACGCACCCCUGUUCUUUCUAGCCGCCUUCGGUUUUCACCUCCAUCGCCUCAUCCCGUACGGCUCUUCUUUUUUUUUUUCGCUUUUUGUCUGCGCCCCAUCCCCGGCCCCCUCCAAUCCCCUCAUUCCCCCUCCCCCUUUUAACCGUCGAUCGUGGCGUGCACCGUGCUGUUCGGUUGCUGUUUUCACCUGCAUCUGUGUCUGCGGAUGGAAACUUGUACCGGGCACAAGAGCGGGCGGGCGGGCGAGAGAGAGAGAUGGGAAUGAGGGAAGAGGCUCAUCGCAUCGGUGAUGCGUUCUGUCCCUCUUUCUGCUUUUCCUCGCAUUGCUCUCUUUAUCCUGUGAAAGGGAGGCUGAAGUACGCUGGCGCCAGCACCGUGCGCUUCUGCGCGCAAACAACCACACCGACACGCACGUAGGAAAAAAGGAGGAAAAGCGAAAACGUACACACCGACAGCCGUACGAGGACGCGUUAGGCAAACCUGCGGAAAUGACACACAUGCCAACUUGCACGCAUACUUCUUUUCGCCCCUCUCUUUCUGCGCGUGCGUCGCUGUGCAUCAGAGGGUGUAUCUGUGGACUAAAGUUGCACGGCGUUUUUGUCGCAUGUCUUCACGCACGGCCACCUUUUCCGUGUUGUUUCGGAAGCGAAGGAAAGGCGAACGCGAGCAUCCCACUUUGCGGAGGGAACCCGAACAAGAGUAGUAGCUGCCAAACGAAAGGGGUGCAUGGAACGCUCUGAACGACUCGGUGGCUGACGCUCCAAGAGCGAGACACACAC
rnacentral:misc_RNA from 1 species